AAUACAGUAUUUCUCUUAUGAAUAAGAUCUGUUAGUGCACCCUGCUUUAUUCCACAAACUUUCUCUUUGUCUUCAGCACUGUUGGUUUAUGUUCAGUCACAGUCCACUGAAACUCUGUUUGUCCAAAGUAUGUUGCAAAACCUAUGAAGUUAGAUUCAGCAGUCAUUUAUUAAAUACCUGUUCACUACUAGAUGUGUUCAUAAAAGUUUAAAUUUGUACAGUUUUAACAGGGCUAUGAACUGGGCAUUACUAAUCCAUUUUAUAAAAAGGAAACUCAAGGUUCCAUGUAUUGAAAUAACUUACUGAAGAUAAGGAUUCAUGAAGUGUAAAGCCAGGAUUCCAUCUUGGGUCUCCCAGAUUCAGAUUCACUGUUCUGUAUCUUUGCUGCCUCAGUAAACUAUUUCUGCUGUUUAUUAUAUUGAUAAAAUUGGAAAUGCAGAAAUUUACUAUUAAACUCUUUUGCACUCAGGAUGAUUUUAGAGCCUAGGAGAGAUACCUAGAAUUUUUUAUGUUUUUGUUAAGUGAAGUAAUGCCUUAUGUAAACUAGAUUAACUGAAAUUACAGCAGCAUUAAGAUAGAAAGUAGAUAUGCCCAAACAAAAAUGUUAAUGGAAUCAAAAUUGGAGUGACAAAUCAUUUACAAGGAGAUGAGGGGUGAAAACCAUUAGUGCAUAUAAAUUUGUAGCUUUUUUUAUUGUGUUUUAAAUUUUUAUUAAAUUUUUUACCUAAUAUGAAAACUAAGGUAUUUAAAGAUUUCUGUGUACUCAGAUUCAUCUUCAAGUUGAAGAUGAAUUCAUCUUCUUAAGCUAAACAUAUUUAUUGUCUAACCUUUCAAAAUGACUGUUUUUUUCUUAGAAGAUCAUAAAAAUGAAAAGUUGAUAUAUAUCAAAAACUAGUAAAGAUAAUUAAAAGCCUACAAGCCAGAAUAUAAACCACCACACUUGGAACUAAGACUUUGAUAAAGUCUUAACCUACUUGAUGAAGAGGUCUUUUGAAAGGUGUACUGCAAGGGAUGCAAUGCUCUCUGUAAAUUAACACGUUUAUGAAGAUCCUCCAGAUGUGAAGAAGGAACAUUUGGGGCUAUUAUAACUAAAUGAAAACUUUCUUGUUUUAAUCCUGAGAAUGAAUUAAAGAAAAAUUGAAAUAUUGGCAAAGUGAGAAACUAUAGAAAGACUGUUAAAUUGAAAUUUAUCAUAACAGCAUACAGCUUCUUUCCAGUCUCUUACUAAAGAAGAGGAAAUGGCCUGUCAGUACCUAAUGAAGCACACAUUUUAGGUAAUUCAGCAAAACUGGGAAGUUUUAUUUGUAUGAGUUAACACUUCCAUCCUUGUAUAAUUGUGAGCACAUAAAGUGCAAAUAGUAAAAUAAAAGUUAUACCUUUUAAUGACCUUAAUUUGGUUAUUUUACAAAGAAAAAUAACUAUGGGUGUGUAUUAAAUUCAUUUUUUCCAUCUUCUUUGGAAAAAAAUCCUCAUUUUUUUCAUUCAUUUUCUUUUAAGUUGAUGACAUAUAACUUCAAAAUUGAACAUCUAAAAUCUCUUACAUGGAAUAUGGGUUGAGUUUGGAACUAACUCAGAGGAUUCAGGCAAGUAUCCAGGAGGUAGCAAGAACAAUAUUUUAUUAGUUGAAUAAGUCAGUUUACAUUCCAUAUUUAAAUGUAGAUCUCUUAAGAUCACACAUAUGGAUAUGUGAUGGUAGGUGUGAAAAUUUGGCCUUAGACUAAAUUCUGUACUCAACUGCAAAGGUUUUCUUUAAUCAAUUGUAUAUCCUUUUGGUUAUUAUAGAAUUACAUGUUGUUUUUAAGCCACUAAGUAUCAUUAUGGAUACAUGCCCAGGUUAGCCAUAAUUGGAUUAGCAAGAUUAAACUUUCCUAAACUGUGAUCUCUAAGUUAAUAAUUUAUUUCAAAGUUGACAUUCUAAAUCAAUUUUUUUUCCUUUUGCAGGUGGAUAUUACUAUCCCUUAUUCAUCGAAAAAGUUUUAAUUAAUUCUAAGUGUAUUUUCUCAUUGAGUAUUAACAAAAUGGACAAAAAUUAGUGUCCCAAACUUUUGAGAUAGAUUUGGCUCUAGUAAGUAUUUAGACCUAUUAUUUGCAUAUCUAGGAGAAGAAAUGAGACCAUCAUCAUUUCCAGCCAAAAUUGUUUUUUCUUACCUCUGUAAAAGGAUUUCUUGCAAUUUAUGUUUUAUUACUAAUAACUUGAGCCCCUUUAAUGAAGAACUAACUCACCAGAAAUAUGAGAGUAUAUGUUCUUGCUUUGUUUGUUUAUAAAUAUAUCUCACAGAUUUCUGAUGUCUUUUUUUUUUGAGCUAUAUACAAUGAAGAAAAUGUUGACAAAAUAAACAAGUUUAAACUUUUUAUGUUAAAGUUACUGUUCAUGGUGACAAGUGAGUUCCUUUUUUUUUUUGUCUUCAUUAUUACUGAAAUUAAAUUCAACAUUUAUAAUUUUUAUUUGGGUCUAUUUCUUGAUUACUAAUACAUGGAAUUCAUUCAAAGUCUUUAUGAGUAAAAUACUUAAAUUAGCAUAUUAAUGAUUAUACGUCCCCUUUAAUUCUGUAGAACUUUGAAUAAUAUGAUAUUUAUUGUAUUCUUGUGAUUGAACUUUUGUGUUUUGAAGGAAUAUAAACUAUACCUGGAAAAUUGU